GGAGACAUAGUUUAAUUGGUUGAAAAACAGCGGGCCUAUACCCCGUAGAACCAGAUAAGUUGCUGUUCUCGGUUCGAAUCCGGGUGUCUCCA
rnacentral:tRNA from 1 species